rnacentral:tRNA from 1 species
CAAAGGGUAGUUUAAAGUAAAAUAUUAGUUUUGGGAAUUAAUGAUAAGAAUUUCUUCCCUCUGA